GUGUAACUAAUACAUAUAGUAUGUCACAAACACAACUCUUAGUUGUGUGAUGGAAUUAACCUCAAUAUGAUUUGAUUGGUUUUUCCUUCACUUAUUAUAUUAUUAUCAUUAUUGGAUUUUGGUAUGAAACCUCAGGUCUCCACUUCACUUAUCAUAUAUGCUUCAAUGAAUGGGAGCAAUUAUAAGGGACAUUAGUUGGACAACAUAUAUGCAACGGGCGAGCGAUCUCCUCGUGGCCGUCUCAUCGGGUGCUGAGGAGCACAAGGCAAGGAUUCUCGGCCACUGAAGAGCUCAGGCUAGUGGCUCAAGAACAACACUCCUUGUGGACCGUGGCUAUGAGACUCUCAAUCAAACAGAAUACAAGAGAAGGUUCGAACCACUUCAUCCAACUUUGGAGGAGAUUUUUCGACUCAUAUCACAAGGGAAGCCGCGUGACCUCAAUGAGAACGUCGAUUGUCACGUGAGCUUUGAAGGUUCUAGGGCCAAUGAGGUGGCUUACAGAAGCCCUGUUUGCCUUGUGAGUAUGUUCAUGGAUGAGGUAAGUAAGAGUUUAUAAUUAAUGCAACGAUAAGCAGCAAUAUACCUUCUCACUCAAACAGGAUAAAUGGACAUCAACAUUCUCAAAUAUAGUCUCCAAGGCCAUAAAUCUAGCAGGUUUAACCACAGGGGACAUGGAGAAUGCAAAUGGAUCUGUUCAAGUGAGUUUCACAUCUGCUCUCCUCUUAUCUCGCCGAUGUUUCCCUUGAAACUUUCCACCCUAAUCCAUUCCCAACAUCCAAAAGAAAGCCAUCAGGCUGCCUGAUUCAAGCCCUCGGGGAUGGAGUAUCAAAGGUUACUUGGGUGGAACACAGUUCGGAAUCAGGGGUGGCAUACAGCGCCAAGCGCUGGAUUUCGACCCUGGAGAGACAAUGCGAAAGAAUUGCAACUCUAGAGGCGCGAGACGACUCUCUUAAUGACAAAGGUUCAGGAGCUGCUACGAAUGGUCUAUUGAGAUUGGCAGGAAGAAUGAGUAAGACAUUUUAAUUUGAAGAUUUUCUCAACUAUGGAAAGUGGAUGGAGAGGAGUGAAUCUACCAGGAGUUGAUGGGAUCCUAAUCAAGAACUGGUUGAUCCUUGAUGACCUUCAACAGAUCCCUCCUCGAGUAGCCGUGUCGAUCGCAACAUCAGUCUGGCUACCUGUGAAACAAGAUCAAGUGUUCAACCUCCUAAGGAAUGAGCAAAACAGAGCUAAGUGGGGUAUUCUAGCAUAUGGUAUGGAAGUUGAAGAAGUCGUACGCAUUUCUUCACCUCGAAACUCCAGACUCGAUCUCAGUUGUUUCCCAACGGUCAAAGAGAGGUGUAAUCACGUACCUGCAAGAGAGCUACAACGAUUCUGUGGCGUGCUACACAGGCUACGCUCCCGUGGAUGUCCGGACAAUGCACCCACAUUCUGCAAGGAGGAACUGCAGAUUCUGUGGCAAUCUUGCCUUCAGGGUUCGUCAUUCUACCUGAUGGAUCUACGGACCAAAGCAGUAUCCUCACUGUCGCAUUUCAGAUCAUCGAUGAAGAACUAGCAACACCACAAGAGCUGCCGGAAAGCUCACUGAUCACGGCGUGCUCACUGAUCAGAGAUACAGUUUCUCUGAUUCAAACAGCCCUUCUACAGGAAUUGAACUGGUCUCCACCUUCCUAAACACCAAUGCUUUUGGCAUUACUUUUAAUAGAUUGGUUAAAUGUAUUGUGUGUAGGACUUUUGGAUAAUGAACUAGUGUCACACUUUACCAUUAAUUAAUUUUAGUUAAUUCAUAGCAUACUAAUUUGAGUUUAAAAA